UUGCUACACUCAGACUCUGUGCUUGUGAGAGGGGAAGUAUUGCCUCUUAGAGGUGCCCGGGGGGUGGUAUGUAAUUGUCCCAGGUCACUGGGUUGGGGCUCGAGCUGCUUUUGCAUUGUGUUGUUGAAACAGAACCCCUAGAUACUGAACCCGGCCCUUGUUGCUGGCAACUCUGAUGGGCAGAAGGGUUACACAGAUUUUUACCUUACUUUUCCACAAACUGCAGGCUAUCCCCUAGGUUUGUGAGGUGCUAAGUCUGCCAGCCUUGGAAUAAAGAGAGGGGAGAGGGAGCAGGAGGGGAGAGGGGGAAUUCUGCUAACUGGUGUGUCUUGCUCCCAGCCUAUGGAUCAAAAUUUUAUCCCUGCCUCUUUGUCUGUAGGAAAAAGUGUUCGACUCGUGUCUUGCUGUUAGAUCUUCUGACAACCUUGACGAAGUCAGAAAGAAAAUAAAUCUGCUUUUUCUGAAGUCAUCUUGUGAGCAGUUUGUCCCCCUGGUAUUUGCAGGAUAACUAUCAACUGUGCUGUAUUAUCAGUGUGUGUAGGUGUUUGCAAGUAAAGAUUCUCAUUUUUAUUUUUUUCUUUGUAGUUUUCUAAAUGAGCAAUAUAUUUACUGAUAAAGCAUCUAAUUUAUGCUGAGAAUCUAGGCUCUUUGAGAUAGAAACUGUUUCCUUGUUCUGUGUGGUUUUUUUUUUUUUUUUUUACAGCAUCUAGCACAAUGGGGAUCUGAUCCUUGAUGAGCUCCUAGGUGUUCUGAUAAUACAAAUAGAUCAUAAGUAUAAUUUGUUUCUUGAUUACAAAUACUAAAGUGUAGCUUUCCCUAAUGUUUCAAAAUUUCACUGCAUUUAUUAAAUUCUCUUUUAACCCUUUUCAUAGAAUUACUUUCCCUUAUUUAAGAGUACAAGAAGAUAUCUGUUUAUACCUUUUUAAAUUCUGAGUGAGUUUAAUGGAGCAAAUGGGCAUAGUUUGUGGCAAGAACAGUCACAAAUACCUCAAACUCAGAACUGUACUAAGUUGUAGUUUUGAAAAGAGAGGCAAUAGUUAAUGGGAAAGAAAACUAAAUAGUCUAGAUCGGAUUUGAUUCUCACAGCCAUUCUCUGAGAUUAGCCGUUGCAAGGCAGGGGGUGGCUGGAACAAAGAACAUAGCCCUUCCCCCUGUAUUUCAGCCCAAGCAGGAAUUGAAAUGACACAAAGUGGGACUUUCCCAUUUUAAAUCCCUGUUCCCACUCAUGCCUGCAUGUGAUUCAGUGCCAAAGUGAAAUGCUGCCUGAAAAUGGUCUGACUGGAAUGGGGUGGGGAGUGGGCGGGGAGAGGAAAUUGAGGAGCUAUUGGGAAACAAGGACAAAGACUGCCCCUCGUUGCUUCUGCUAACACAGCGAGCCCUGUCCCUCUGUAAAAAGGCAAACAGUAGCCCAGGAGCCAUCACAGAUUCAGAGGGGACAGUCUUUGAGUAAAGCUCCUGCAACACCUGGCUGCCGAGCUCAGGAGAGAAGGAUGAAGUUCGCUCUCCGUGCCACGCUGUCCUUGGGGAUAUUGGCAGCAACAUUUUCUCUGGGUGCUUCCUCCACUCCAGCACAAAGACUGCCCAAAGGCUUGGCUACACUUGAAAGUUAGAGCGCAUUAAAGCAGCCCCAGGCCCCCUAACUCACAACCCAUCCACACUGGCAAGGCACUUAGAGCGCCUGGACUCUGCAGCUGGAGCGCUCCUGGUAAUCCACCUCCACGAGAAACAUAACUCUUGCUGCGCCUCGGCUGAAAGAAAGGUGAAGCGGAUGCCAUGAGCUUGGAUUCAGGUUACGUCUACAUGGCUGGCACACGUGGCUUGGUGCCAGUCAUGGGAGAAUACUACAGGGCUGACCAUACACGAUGCAGGAUUCGAGGAGCACAGGCAGAUAAUUACUGGUGACGGGAGGCAGAAGAUAAAAUCCUGAAAAACAACGUUGGUCAAGAGACACAAAACAAAGGGUUAGGAAUCAAUAGCCAAUGUUCACCACAAUCACUAUGGCCAAUGUACUUAGUAACCAUCUGGAAAACAGCUCCAGUAGCAAAUGGAAUGGUCCCCAAUUAUGUAGGUAAAAGAGCACAGGGAGGAACUGCAUAAGGACCUCCCCAAACUAGUCAAAAUGUGGCAACAUGAGUGCAGAUAAAAUAUAACAGAAAACAUGGGCAGGGUAGUACCCACUGUAAAGAACAAAAGGAAAAGGAGUACUUGUGGCACCUUAGAGACUAACCAAUUUAUUUGAGCAUAAGCUUUCGUGAGCUACAGCUCACUUCAUCGGAUGCAGACUAACACGGCUGUUACUCUGAAACCUGUAAAGAACAAGUUAUAUUACCUAAGGAUAUAAACAAGUGGGGUUGGAAAAAGACUUACCCCUUGGUACAAUAUUACCCAACAGGCUGGGAGCAUUAUGGGGGAUUUUUGCUGCCUUCCUGAAACAUUUUCUACUAGCCUCUGUCAGAGACUGGUUUCAGAGUAGCAGCCAUGUUAGUCUGUAUUCGCAAAAAGAAAAGGAGUACUUGUGGCACCUUAGAGACUAACCAAUUUAUUUGAGCAUAAGCUUUCGUGAGCUACAGCUCACUUCUUCAGAUGCAUAAAGUGGAAAAUGCAGUGAGGAUGUUUUAUACACACAGACCAUGAAAAAAUGGGUGUUUAUCACUUCAAAAGGUUUUCUCUCCCCCCACCCCACUCUCCUGCUGGUAAUAGCUUAUCUAAAGUGAUCACUCUCCUUACAAUGUGUAUGAUAAUCAAUGUAUAUGAUAAUCAAUCCAGCACAAAUCCAGGGUUUAACAACAACGUCUGAGGAACAGUGGGGGGGUAGGGUAGGAAAAAGCAAGGGGAAAUAGGUUACCUUGCAUAAUGACCUAACCAUUCCCAGUUUCUAUUCAAGCCUAAGUUAAUUGUAUCCAAUUUGCAAAUGAAUUCCAAUUCAGCAAGUCAGAGACUGGAGCAGACUAAAUGAUCAGUGCUAGCAUGGCAAUCCCUGUGCUUACAUGAAUGUUUGUUGAAACCACUGUUCAGAGAAAUUUCUAAGGGCAUUGGACCAACCCCCAGCUCGCUGUGUGUGGUGAUUGUGUUGCAGAGCUGAGGCUCCCCCGCAGGGCCUGGCAAGGAAGCAUUCACUGCAGCAGUUUGUGCCGUGCCUGUUCUGGGGGAAAGCAGGGACUUUAGAUCUAGGGCUGUCAGGAGCACUAACACAUGCCACUUAUUUUUUAAUAAGGAAAAGAUUAACCUUUCUUCUGUUUUGUUUAGGAGCAUGAGCUAGUCCUCGUUGUGGGAGCAGGAGAGGAAAGACCUUUGCCCCAGGCUUUGAACCUAGAAAGGGAGGAAAUCUCACAUUCAGAUACUAGCGUGUGGGGUCUCCUCGCCACAGAUACAUCAGGCAGGGGCGCCAUAUAGGGAGGCUGGGGGGCACCUUCCCCGCCUCCCCCCAGAUUUCGUACUGCAGCUCACUCCUCAUGGACACGCCCAGGCAUACAGGAAGUGAGCGCUGGUCCUUUAAGACAGGCACUCAGUGUGUAUGUGUGCACACAAAAGAGUCACACAACCCCUCCCCUGAGCAGUCAAUCAGCUGGCGGCUUCUUUGAUGUCAACAGCCCCUGACUGGGGCUCCCCUACAUUGCUGGCAUACGCCACUCUGUGCUGGGCACUCCAUGCCCUGUCUCUCCUGGCCAAAGCCUUGGGUUUGCACUACUCCAGUCUGCUACUUCGCUGAACUUUCCUGGGGAUGGGGGAGGAGGGAGGCGGUGAGGGUUGUUGGUUCCUGGAUCCUGCAGCUUCUUCAUCCUCCAGGCUGCCAAUUGCAAACUCCCCCUUCUCCCAAAAAAGGGUUUGAUCUAAUGCUCUCAGACCCUUAUCUGCCAAAUGGAUCUGUCACCUUUGGUGAGUUCAUCAUCACAGUUGAAGUGUAUUGCUGUCUGCCAUGCAUCACUAGAUGCUAGUGUUUUUACUGACGUGAUGUAGCAUUAUUUCUAAAAUGCCUAGGACAGUGCUCUAAAGAAAUGAAAGGCAAAAGCUCAGUCAGGGUAAGGCAAGACAGUGGGGUAGUUCUGAAUUAUCCACAGGGAUUUCUUUCCGGCCUCUCCUCAGCUUCUAGUUUCAUCUCCAGUGUUUCAAGAAAAAGAGCAAGAGCUGCCUCCAGACUACCCCUUCAUCUAGUAUUGGACAUCAUAACCUGUGAUGUAUGUGUUUAAGGCUCUAGCCCCUGAUUAAACUCUCUUGUAAAAUGUCUUGCUUCCCCCCGGCAAGAAAGGGUUCUGUGGUGGAUAAUAUCAACACAGAUGGACCUUUUACCAUAGUAGUUAAUUCAUUGUGAUUGGUCCUACACAAAGGUCUAACGUUACUGGCAGGCAAUGUUUGUUCAAAUAUUCAUAUUAGGAGUGCUAGUGACAAUGUAGGAUUCAGGCCUGUAUUUUUGCUUGAAAUAGUAUUUUGAGUUUUGCUUGCCUGUUUGAUUUUUUUGAUGCACAUACAUUCUUACUAAUAUGUGUGAACAAAGGGAUCCUUAUGUAAAAACAAAGGACAAAGACACUGUGUAUGUUGCUUUUGCCUAGCCAGAUGGGUUUGUUAGUAUAAUGGGAACAGAUAAGAGCAGUUAAAGUGUGACGGGGGGCAUGGUGGGAAUAUAAUAUAUGAGCAUACACUUUAAAAUUGCCUCAACUCCUAUCUCAAGGAAAAGUCAAGCAACCAGUCAGGAGGGGCAAAGGGGGAUUGGGGGGGUCGGUAAAUCAUUAGAAGGCCAGAGAAAUGCUUCUCCCUGACCAUAGCACGACCAUAGCACAACCUCACUCCUCACCCCUCCCAUGGGAUACAAAAGAGGUGGGACAAAGACUCAUGACCCCCCAAAAUGGAACAUGACCAUAAAUUGUAAGGGGUGGGACUCUGGGCAGUCAUUUCAGGUAUAAUUAUGCCUGCUAAGGAGGGGGGGAUGGGACACUGGGAAACAAGACUCUCCAGCAAGCAUGUAUACCAUAACUCUGAUGCCGCAAACUAACCCCAAUAAACAUCGCAUUGCCUGCACUUCAGACUUCUGGUGUGCUUUCUGUCUGUGUGACAAGAACUAGGGGAGAGGGUGAAGAGAAAGCCCUCUAACACUUUACUUUACAGAAAUUUUACACAGAAACAUCAGCAAGUGCUAGUAAUGAGGUACACUUUAAUACUUCCAGUAAGUUGUGCUAAAUGAAUUCUUCACUAUAGUGAGCCACUUAGGGAGGGGUUUUACCAGGCAAUCCCUGUCCAUAGCUAGCUCUAGCACAGUUUCCAACAAAAAUUGCAACUAACAAACACAAAGGGACAAAUUCAGCUCUCCUUAGCACUGCUGUAAAUCUGGAGCAAUUGCAUGGGUUUCAACCAUUAUUCUAAAUUUGGAGUUGUAUAAAUGAGAACAAAAUAUGGUUCAUCUUAUUUACAUUUUUAGUUUUGAUCUUACUGCUACAAGAUUUUGAACAAUAUAUUUUAACCUCGUUAAUACAAAGCCUGAGGUUCACUGACAUGGUACUAAAUUUAGAAUUCCAAUCAAGCAUUUGUGCAUUGGAAAAGUAAAAUACAAUAAUUGCUGCUAUGAAAAGUGCUUCAGUUGUGGGGUACUAUGAAUAGGGCCCUACCACAUUCACGGCCAUGCAAAACAUGUCAAGGAACAUGAAAUCUGGUCUCCCCCCAUGAAAUCUAGUCUUUUGUGUGCUUUUACCCUAUACUAUACAGAUUUCACAAGGAAGACCAGCGUUUCUCAGAUUGGCGGUCCUGCCCAAAAGGGAGUUGCAGGGAGGGGCAUAAGGUUAUUUUAGGGGGGUCACAGUAUUGUCACCCUUACUUCUGCGCUGUUUCAGAGCUUGGCAGCUGGAGAGAGGCAACUGUUGGCCGGAUGCCCAGUGCAGAAGUAAGGUAGCAAUACCAUACCACGCCACCCUUACUUCUGCACUGCUGCCUUCAGAGCUGGGCAGCCAGAGAGUGGCAGCUGCUGACUGAGGACCCAGCUCUGCAGGCAGCAGCGCAGAAGUAAAGGUGGCAAUACCAUACCAUGCCAUCGUUACUUCUAUGCUGCCUUCAGAAAUGGGAUCCCGGACAGCAGCUGCUGCUCUCCACCUACCCAGUUCUAAAGGCAGGGUGCAGAAGUAAGGGUAGCAGUACUGCAACCCUCCCUCACUCACACUCACAACCUUGCAACACCCUGUCCCCCCCACCCAACUCCUUUUUGGGUCAGGAUCCCUAUAAUUACAACACUGUGAAAUUUCAGAAAUAAAUAGCUGAAAUCAUGAAAUUUACUAUUUUUAAAAUCCUAUGACUGUGAAAUUGACCAAAAUGGACCAUGAAUUUGGUAGGUCCCUAACUAUGAAACAAUCUUUGAGUUAGGGUAUAAUAAAACAUUGUUCAUGUUGCAGUGUUGGGGACCCCAGGGCAUGGCCACUAGUUAAGUUGAGGGGAUGGAAGGCCAUAAGGGUCGAGGAAGUCUCCCUGCUCUAGGCCUAAGGGCUUCUUGUCAACCCCCCUUAACGGAACUCAGGCCUGGCUGGUUUAAGUAAGCUCUUUUGCUCUUAAAACAAUGUUGCAGCAGCAGAUAAUGCCUGAUAGUGUAAGGUUUGCUGACGCCAAGUUAAAGAUAACAGGAGGAGACAGCUUCAAGGCCAGACAGGAUGUGCUGGUUGUUUAAGUUGCUAGGAAUGCUUGUUAGAGGUUGCAGGAAAUAAACAUUGUUGUAACCCAUAUAAGGAAGGCAGAGUAUUUGUGCAAAGCUUUGAUUGGCUAAUGUGUAGUGCAGUAGCAUUAAGGAAUAUGAAAGUGUGUGUAAUGACCUGCUCUGAUGUGCAGGAUUUGAGAUUUCUCUCCCUGUACCUUUCUUUGGAAUUCCAAAUAAACUUUACUAC